rnacentral:rRNA from 1 species
UACGUAGGGUGCGAGCGUUAAUCGGAAUUACUGGGCGUAAAGAGUGCGUAGGCGGUUCUUGAAGUCCGCUGUGAAAGCCCCGGGCUUAACCUGGGAAUGGCAGUGGAAACUGGGGGGCUUGAAUUGAGCAGAGGGGGGUGGAAUGCCGCGUGUAGCAGUGAAAUGCGUAGAGAUGCGGCGGAACACCGAUGGCGAAGGCAGCCCCCUGGGCUUAAAUUGACGCUGAGGCACGAAAGCGUGGGGAGCAAACAGG